CGAAGUUUGAAUUCAACGAUCCAAAGACACUUUCUCCACCUCUCCCAGAUUCUUGCCACUUACAAAAGUUGAAAAAUGCAGGAUUAUGGAUGCAAUUAUUUCUCAUGGUUGCUUCUUGCGAGAAUGUAGCGUUCAACACUCCAUUGUGGGUGUGCGCUCACGUCUAGAGUCCGGAGUCGAACUUAAGGAUACUAUGAA